GACGAACGCUGGCGGCGUGCUUAACACAUGCAAGUCGAACGGAAAGGCCCUGCUUUUGUGGGGUGCUCGAGUGGCGAACGGGUGAGUAACACGUGAGUAACCUGCCCUUGACUUUGGGAUAACUUCAGGAAACUGGGGCUAAUACCGGAUAGGAGCUCCUGCUGCAUGGUGGGGGUUGGAAAGUUUCGGCGGUUGGGGAUGGACUCGCGGCUUAUCAGCUUGUUGGUGGGGUAGUGGCUUACCAAGGCUUUGACGGGUAGCCGGCCUGAGAGGGUGACCGGCCACAAUGGGACUGAGGUACGGCCCAGACUCCUACGGGAGGCAGCAGUGGGGAAUAUUGCACAAUGGGCGGAAGCCUGAUGCAGCAACGCCGCGUGCGGGAUGACGGCCUUCGGGUUGUAAACCGCUUUCGCCUGUGACGAAGCGUGAGUGACGGUAAUGGGUAAAGAAGCACCGGCUAACUACGUG
rnacentral:rRNA from 1 species